UACGGGGGAGCAAGCGUUGUUCGGAUUUACUGGGCGUAAAGGGCGCGUAGGCGGCCACCGCAAGUCGACUGUGGAAAUCUCCGGGCUUAACCCGGAAAGGUCAGCCGAUACUGCGGGGCUAGAGUGCAGAAGGGGCAACUGGAAUUCUCGGUGUAGCGGUGAAAUGCGUAGAUAUCGAGAGGAACACCUGCGGCGAAGGCGACGUGCUGGGUUGCAACUGACGCUGAGAUGCGAAAGUGUGGGGAGCAAACGGG
rnacentral:rRNA from 1 species